AGUGGCGGACGGGUGAGUAACGCGUGAGAAUCUGCCUUGGGGUCGGGGACAACCACUGGAAACGGUGGCUAAUACCGGAUAAGCCGAUUGGUGAAAGAUUUAUUGCCCGAAGAGGAGCUCGCGUCUGAUUAGCUAGUUGGUGAGGUAAGAGCUCACCAAGGCAGCGAUCAGUAGCUGGUCUGAGAGGACGAUCAGCCACACUGGGACUGAGACACGGCCCAGACUCCUACGGGAGGCAGCAGUGGGGAAUUUUCCGCAAUGGGCGAAAGCCUGACGGAGCAAGACCGCGUGAGGGAGGAAGGCUCUUGGGUUGUAAACCUCUUUUCUCAGGGAAGGAGCUCUGACGGUACCUGAGGAAUCAGCCUCGGCUAACUCCGUGCCAGCAGCCGCGGUAAUACGGAGGAGGCAAGCGUUAUCCGGAAUUAUUGGGCGUAAAGCGUCCGCAGGUGGCGAUUCAAGUCUGCUGUCAAAGCACGGGGCUUAACUCCGUAAAGGCAGUGGAAACUGAAUAGCUAGAGUGCCGUAGGGGUAGAGGGAAUUCCCGGUGUAGCGGUGAAAUGCGUAGAGAUCGGGAAGAACAUCGGUGGCGAAAGCGCUCUACUGGACGGCAACUGACACUCAGGGACGAAAGCUAGGGGAGCGAAUGGGAUUAGAUACCCC
rnacentral:rRNA from 1 species